ACAGACCGCCGUGAGAGAGGAGGGGUGCCGGCCGGGAUUCGCGGCCCGGAGCUCGGGACCGGAGUCAGGAAUGGAGAGAAGGGUAAUGGUUUUACCUCUUAUUGUGGAAACCUGUUGAGAUCACAGAGAAUAUACUGACGGCAUAAAAGGGCAGAACCAUAGCAGGGUGCGGUUGCUUCAUUCCAGCCUCGCAGUCACCUCUGUGCCCUGCUGGUUGUCUUCCCAGCGCUGCUGUAGUUGCCUUCCAUGGAUCUAUAGGAGAGCAAGUCCUCCAGCUGCACCACAGACGUCCGCCCCAUCUCAGGGAGCCGCCCCGUCUGCCCACUCUGCAAGAAGCCUUUUAAGAAGGAGAACAUCCGACCCGUGUGGCAACUGGCCAGCCUGGUGGAGAACAUUGAGCGGCUGAAGGUGGACAAGGGCAGGCAGCCGGGAGAGGUGACCCGGGAGCAGCAGGAUGCAAAGUUGUGCGAGCGACACCGAGAGAAGCUGCACUACUACUGUG
rnacentral:lncRNA from 1 species